UCUUUUCAUAAAUAAAACAAAUCUCAGAGCCGUUAUUUGUAACUUAAUAUCCGUAGUUAAGUAUUGAAAAAUGCCAACUAUUUGUAAAUACAUAUCUACACAUAUUAAAAAACUUCCAUUAAUUAUGUUUUUAAGGCCCUUGAAAAUUACCGAACGCCGCAGAGGUCAAAUGGGUAUGGUAAAUUACACAAAUCAAAAUUAAUGAAAUAAAAAACAAAUAAUUGUUUACUGCUAACAAUACAAAGAAAAUUGUGAAAAAGCAUGACGCAUGUAUAUACAUAUGUAUGUAUGUGCACUGGUAUUUAAUAUGUCUGCUAAGUAUACAAAUUGCGGCUGAAAACUCCCAACAUAUAAGCGCAUUAAAUAACAACAAUAAACCGACAAUCAAACCCAAUGUAGUGUCAUUCGCGAUAAUUUAUCAUUUAUUGGGGUUGUUGUUGUUACCGCCGGCCCUGCUGCUACUUUGGUAUGUAUUGUGGUUAUCUUCUACACUAUUAAAUAAUUGUUAAAUCUCAGCGGUAAGUGCUUUUUGUUUCAACCGACUUUGCUUUGCGGUUUGAAAUUUUCAUUUCGACGAUUUAUUAUUUCGUGUAUGACUGGCGAAGUUUGAAUAAUUACUAAGAGUCAACGAGUGGGAAAGAGAGAGAGGGAGUAAGACAAACGUGAGAGGGAAACCAUAGCAUGCGGCACAUCAAACAAAAGGGGAGACGUAAGUAAUGAAGAUAGCAUUAAAGUUAAACAGCAAUGAGAAUGCGGCGCGAAGAGGAGGGCAAAGGCAAAAGAGGGCAAAAACGGCAUGCCGCGACGAGCGUUAAGGAUUAUAGAUUAAGGAAACACGUGGCAGAGUUGGGAGAGUACAUUACACUUCAAAGUAAGAGUGAGGCAAAAAGCAUUGCAUAUUAACAAAGUCAUAUAGAUUUGGGCAUAGCGGAGAUAAUGCGCCAGUAAUCCGUUAAAUAAUAUGAAAUGUUGAGAUGUGGCAAGGAUUAUUUUGAAAGCAGAUGACAUAAAAUAUUAAGCAGUCAAUGGAUUUGUAUAAGAGAUCAGAACACAUGCUUUGUGUUGACAACAAUAGCAAAGUAGUGGUGAAUAUUAAACAAAUACCGGUGGAAAUAUGAAUAAACAUAUAUUAUAAUGCCUGAGUAUGAAAGAAUGAAAAUAGCAGAGUAUACCGACUGCGACGAACUCUUAAGGAAGUAUUGGGCGAGCUGUUAUCAGGACUUUAGGAUAAUGUAUAAAGGGUGUGCAACUGGAACAAAAUACACAUUUAUGUAAAAUAUACAUUUUAUGCCUAAAUAUAGGCAAUAUUUUUUUUAAAUAUUUUAAACUGGUAUUUAGAUUUUUUUUUAGGUUAGGAAACCUACAGGGACCUUUAUCGCAGUCUUGCUGUAAUCUUUCUCGCAGAAUUGCCCUGUAUAAUAAGCAUAUGCAAAGCGCCCAAAUGUAGGCAACAUUUUAGUUUACAAUGAAAACCCGCCGCGCUAAACAAGGAUACUAUUGAAAGAGCAAGCUGUAGCAAGCUGAAAAUAAGAUAGUUAUGCAUAAACUAGAGAGUUUCUUAUGGCAAAGUAAGUAUACGCUUCUCUAAGUAGACUUAAGAUACCGCAAAGUACCGUAGUCAGCGUUAAAUUAACUAACAUGUAUUUUUGUGAUAAAAAAAAUAUUUGUAGUAUAAUUUUAUCGUUAAUACAUAUGUACAUACUAAACGAGAAUGACCCGCACGUAGCUGCGCGUAACAAGUGAAAAUUAGAAGGGUUAAUACACCAUUCGUACGCUUAAUAAGAACUAUAAUAAAACGAAAUUAUUUGGCAGCUGCGUUAAAACGAUUAAUAAUAAUUGUUAGAUGAAAUCUCUAUAGCAUGUUGAUGGCUGCAACUAAUCAGCGUGUAGAGGGUGUCGGCGGUGGACAAAGGGUUUAACGAUAUUUUUUGUUAGUGCUUAUUUUGUUUUUUUUUUAUACUUUAUUGAUGAACUUUUUCUUGCGAUAACAAAAGAACUAACGAAAAUUGCGCACCAACAACGGCAAAGUCAAAAAAUCAGCAACCGCAGCGAAACUAAUAGCGGUAAUUAUCACGCACCGGCUACAAAUUAUACGCAACACACAAAUACACGCAUGCCUGUGUGUGUGUGUGUGUGUGUGUGUGUGUGUAAGUAUAUGUUUAUCUAAUAGAUAUGAAAGAAUUGAUACCGUCAAGUUAAUGUCAGGUUAUGUCAGCCAAGGUGUUUGAAUGAGCGUCCGAAUGAGUUAUGAAUUUGUCGGGAUGACUCACGAAGAGCAUGAAGAAAAUGAAAAUGCCUGCUGGGCUUUUGACGCAGCAAUGGCGAAAGGUUGAAAGUACCGACACAACACCUCUGACACCCGACACAGCAGGUAAGCGGCUAAGAAGGUACAAAAUACCCAUUUGUAUUUGUAUGGGGCAAAAAGUGCUGAAGUAGCGCUGAAAGGGAAAUGUAAACAUAUUUAUGCGAAACAUAAGAGCGCCGCAUAAGCAUAACCAAUUUAUGUAUACAAACAAACAAAAGGCCGAUAUAACUGCCUGCCUGCCUGGCUGCCUGUAUGGGUAAGUAAAUUGCAGACAUGCAGACACAACAACAACAACAACAACAACAAUGUAUGUAGGGUGUAUCAAGAGCUUGUCGAAGCGGCAGCAGCAAAUGCAAACCUGUAAUUAACAGCAAAAUAACAAGAAACUAAACGCGUUAAAAGCAAACAACAAUUUAGGAGACGUGUGAAAUGCAGCUAAAAGAUACAGAAUUAGAGAGCAAACAAGCACACACACACACACACACGUGUAUAUACACAGGUAUACAUGUGGAAAUCGAGGCUGAAAAGUAGUGCACUGCAAGCAAGGAAAUGAGCUAUGGAAACGUAAUUUGCUUAGAAAUAAACGCUAUGCGACAAAUAUGCAGAAUUCAGCAACAACAACAAAACACACAAAAGAGACAAAAAGAGUGGGAGGGGGUAGGAAAUAGCUAACUAACUGCCAAGCAUAUUUAUUUGCUUCAUUGAGCCGCUCAUAAAAAUAGUUGAUGAAGUUAUAACUCAGACCAAAAAAACAAACACGCGCGCACACAUACAAACAAACAUGCAAAUGUGUAGAAUCUUUCGGCUAGAGUGUGGGUUAAUGCCUGAAAUGUGUUAAUUACAAACGUAAAAUGGAACUGGGUCGAUAGACUGUAUUAGCCGGCUCAAACUGCUACUGCUUCGCACGCAUACGCACACACACACACACAUAUACGCGCAAAGCAAAAAAAAAAAAACACACUGUUUCA